CCUACGGGAGGCAGCAGUGAGGAAUAUUGGUCAAUGGACGAGAGUCUGAACCAGCCAAGUAGCGUGAAGGAUGACUGCCCUAUGGGUUGUAAACUUCUUUUAUAUGGGAAUAAAACAGGGUAUGCAUACCCUCUUGUAUGUACCAUAUGAAUAAGGAUCGGCUAACUCCGUGCCAGCAGCCGCGGUAAUACGGAGGAUCCGAGCGUUAUCCGGAUUUAUUGGGUUUAAAGGGAGCGUAGGUGGAUUGUUAAGUCAGUUGUGAAAGUUUGCGGCUCAACCGUAAAAUUGCAGUUGAAACUGGCAGUCUUGAGUACAGUAGAGGUGGGCGGAAUUCGUGGUGUAGCGGUGAAAUGCUUAGAUAUCACGAAGAACACCAGUGGCGAAGGCGGCUCUCUGGUCUGCAACUGACGCUGAGGCUCGAAAGCAUGGGUAGCGAACAGGAUUAGAUACCCGAGUAGUC
rnacentral:rRNA from 1 species